UAACACGUAGGGUGCGAGCGUUGUCCGGAAUUAUUGGGCGUAAAGAGCUCGUAGGCGGUGUGUCGCGUCGGCCGUGAAAACUUGGGGCUUAACUCUGAGCGUGCGGUCGAUACGGGCAUCACUUGAGUUCGGCAGGGGAGACUGGAAUUCCUGGUGUAGCGGUGAAAUGCGCAGAUAUCAGGAGGAACACCGGUGGCGAAGGCGGGUCUCUGGGCCGAUACUGACGCUGAGGAGCGAAAGCGUGGGGAGCGAACAGG
rnacentral:rRNA from 1 species